ACUGGGUGUGGUGGCUUGCACCUGUAAUCUCAGCUACUCAGGAGGCUGAGGCAGGAGAAUUGCUUGAACCCAGGAGGUGGAGGUUGCAGUGAGCUGAGAUCGUGCCACUGCACUCCAGCCUGGGUGGCAGAGCAAGAUUCUGUCUUGGAAAAAAAAAUUAACAGACUAAUUUAAUGAUCACCCAAAGCUGAGUGAUGUCAUUGCAAUCCAGCCUGGGUGACAGAGCAAGACUCUGUCUCA
rnacentral:sRNA from 1 species